AACGAACGCUGGCGGCAGGCCUAACACAUGCAAGUCGAGCGAAGCCUUCGGGCUUAGCGGCGGACGGGUGAGUAACGCGUGGGAACGUGCCCUUUGGUACGGAAUAGCCCCGGGAAACUGGGAGUAAUACCGUAUGUGCCCUUCGGGGGAAAGAUUUAUCGCCAAAGGAUCGGCCCGCGUUGGAUUAGGUAGUUGGUGGGGUAAUGGCCUACCAAGCCGACGAUCCAUAGCUGGUUUGAGAGGAUGAUCAGCCAUACUGGGACUGAGACACGGCCCAGACUCCUACGGGAGGCAGCAGUGGGGAAUCUUAGACAAUGGGGGAAACCCUGAUCUAGCCAUGCCGCGUGAUCGAUGAAGGCCUUAGGGUUGUAAAGAUCUUUCAGUGGGGAAGAUAAUGACUGUACCCACAGAAGAAGCCCCGGCUAACUCCGUGCCAGCAGCAGCCGCCGUAA
rnacentral:rRNA from 1 species